AGGUCCAAAGGACCCCAAAAAGGAUCUGGAUCCCCUCGAACGCAACGUUUUGUUGUCGCAUAAUUACAACUCAAUUGUAAUCCAAUUUUGGCCAGGCAUAUAAAUUCGAUUCAAGCACAAAGUCACGCCCCCGGCCUGGUGUCUGUGUCAACUUUUUCAGUGUCAAAUAAAUAAACUUUUGACAGUCGGCAGACAGGCCAGCGGGGUUUUUCGAGCUUCAACUCCGCCCGAAAAAGCCCAUCCACACACCUUUCGCUUUUGGCCACCACCGGAAAUGGAAAUUUGUUAACGAUGGGGGGUGGGCUCCCUCACCCCCAUCGUUUGCCAUGUACAUAAGUAUCUAGGGUACCAAAAUCAAUGCCCCAACAUAUGGAUUAUAACAGUCAUCUGACCAAGGGCUCAUCCGUUCAACCCCGUCGAGGGCAGAACUCUUGAUAACUGCAAAUUAGUUGCACAUGUUCCACAUGGGCCACAACUCAAAACAAGACGUGUUUGCACUAAUUUGGCCAAAAUCAACAGCUGUGUGUACAUGUGCUGCCAUCUUAUGCUCGCUGUAUACCCAACAGAAGCAGCCCCAAAAAAAUAAAAUAAAAUAAAAGGGAACUAGCAAAAUUUUGGGGCGAAAAACGAGAAGAAAAACAGAAAAAAUGCCUAGAAAACUUGUUAUAAUUACACACUGGCACACACACAAGCACACUCUCACACGUGCUGGAUGGCCGUAUGUGUACGUAAGUUUUACACUUAAAGAAAUAAAUACGACUUCGUCAUUAAAUAAAAAUUAUCUAUGCCUUCAAUAAUUCUUCACUAGUAAAACAAAGUAUAAAUCGAUUUUAAGAGAUAUUAAUUUGAAAGCCCGCAGAAUAAUUCAAUAAAAAUUUGUAUUUCAUAACAUUAUAUUUGAAUGGUUCUGAUUCCUAUUUCCUUAAUGUGUAUGACUUACUUAGUGACUGCAGGGCAAGGAAUUUGGAAUGGGGGAAAGGAGGAGUACGGGGACAUGCAUGAACAGGCAACAUAUGUUGGACUUUGGAGGAAACUUUUGCGAGUUUUCGGGGCGCCCUUCUACUAUCACCCUUGUGGCAGCUCCAUGUAUUGGCACCUCCACUUCGCAGGAUUUCGCCGAGUGGAAUUUGUGUGUUUUGUGGUUGAGUAGGCGCACAGUUUAGGCACAGAAUGCAACAGCUGCGAGAGCCCCCAUUCCAAAGGACGAAAAUGUCCUGCCUAACUCACAGUUUGAGUUUUGCCUGUUGCCGAAAGACCUUGUGACAACUUACUCACUUAUCUCUGAUGAGUCAAGAUAAGUCGCAUAAUUGCAUGGGACUCAAGCUUUAAAAAAAUAAUGUAAGUGUUUCAAAUAAAUUUAUUUUAACAAAAAUAUGUUAUAUAUUCAUUCAGGAACUGUCCCCAACAAAAUGCAAUAAAAAGCAAGGGUUUCCCAGUGCCUGAAAAGAUCCCCGUUAACAAUCGACUACCUGAUUCCAAUAGCAUUGUGUGCCGCUCUCAGAGGGCCACAAAAGCCCCAUGAUACUUUAAAAAAUAAUAAUGACAACAGUUUCAAUAGUAGUCUGGAAACAAUCAGAGCAGCGGCCACAUGAUGCCAACUUUUCAGGGACUCUACGCAGAAAUAAAAACCUGCAACGAAAGCCGUGGGAAUUGUUAACGGAGGCUUAAUAAGAAUGGGGUAAAUCCUACGAAAAAAUAAAGGCACAAACUUUUGGGCCAAUUUUUUUUGGUUGAAAAAAAAUAAUGAAAAGGACCCCGCCAAACUGUGGAAAAAUUGCCCAAAAAUCGCUCGGCCAACGGGAAAAAAGAGAAAUAUGCCAAUGAAAUGGGCUGUUUCCCAGCCCUGGAAAACGUGUUUUGUGUAUGUGGGUGUGCAAAACUGAUGGCCCGUCUGGGCCAAAAGCAAAACCAGAGCCAAAGAGAAAGCCAUGUGCCUCGAAAUGCGGGACACGUACUUGCGCUAUAAUUAUUUCGUACGUGAGCACGUGAGCCCGCCGAAAGACAAUGAGUCGCUGGAUCCGGAGAAAUGAAAAACGGAGACCCGAGUUCGAAGACCGGAGUCCGGAGAGCGUCUACGUCUACGUCUAGGGCCGGAAGGAGAUGUCGAGCCCGCUAAGGUUAGCAUAUGCAUGAAGCACAUCAGAGAAUUUAAAGUUUUGAAGUGCGGAAUUCCAUCGAAAGAAUAAAGCUGGAAAAGAAUCCAACAAUAAGAAUAA